CUCGGGUGAACGGAGGGGGAGUGUCAGGGGCCCCCCGUACACAUGCUCGUACAUACAUACGUACAUAUACAUACGAGUAUGUACGUGCAUAUACAUCAGCUACAUACGCUAAUAUUUAUACGCCCUUAUGGUGAAUAGUGGAGUUCAAGGCUGAAAUUUUAUCUCGUCUCGGCAGUACCUUCAGGAAAACCUAAAUACAUACAUUUUUUAUAGGAGGCUGCACACAAAACCCGGUGGAUGUAUAUGGAACUAGACGAAAAAAGAACGGUCGGACGGACAGACUUGGCUAUAUUGACCAGAUUAUUGAUGCUGAUCGAGAAUAUAUAUAUUGGGUUACAUAUGCCAGGUAAAAACUCUUUUUUUUUUUUGUCUCAACUACUUUGGUCCCCAAGACAAACAUAUCAACUAUUGUUGCUUUCACUUUGCUUUUUUUGGCAUCCCUGUUGUAGUGUCACGUGGCGGUUUCGCACUCAGGGAUGUUCAUGAAAGUAUGUAUGAAUACCGUAAUUCUGCGCACUUCGCUAGGCUUUCAGGACAUAGUUCAGAUUAUUCACCAAAUAAUGAUUUUUUAUACUUUUAAAAUUAUGUUUCUUUAUUAUUCAACGCCGCUUGCUUUUUUCGACUUAAAAGCUAUAGUUUCUGGUGUAGAAAAUAUGAACGCAAGGCUGGAUAAAAUAUUAUCUUGGAACCUAAUAAUGAAAACUACCAGCGCCCACGACCGUUUCCGCCUGCACCA